rnacentral:piRNA from 1 species
GCGAACUUGACUACCGGAUUCAUUAUGUUU